rnacentral:rRNA from 1 species
UGGGGAAUAUUGCACAAUGGGCGAAAGCCUGAUGCAGCAACGCCGCGUGAGGGAUGACGGCCUUCGGGUUGUAAACCUCUUUUAGCAGGGAAGAAGCGAGAGUGACGGUACCUGCAGAAAAAGCGCCGGCUAACUACGUGCCCGCAGCCGCGGUAAUACGUAGGGCGCAAGCGUUAUCCGGAAUUAUUGGGCGUAAAGAGCUCGUAGGCGGUUUGUCGCGUCUGCUGUGAAAUCCCGAGGCUCAACCUCGGGCCUGCAGUGGGUACGGGCAGACUAGAGGGCGGUAGGGGGGAUUGGAAUUCGUGUUGUAGCGGGGGAAUGCGCAGAUAUCAGGAGGAACACCGAUGGCGAAGGCAGAUCUCUGGGCCGUAACUGACGCUGAGGAGCGAAAGGGUGGGGAGCAAACAGG